AACCAUAGAAACCUGCGGAGUACCUGCGGAGGGAUCAUUAAAAAAAUGAUGAAUGUCGGAGGGCGUUCAGUUUCUUACUUGUCGCUCUCCGUGUAUUCAACCAACCCGCUCUUGCAUUUGGAUCAACCAAAAAUAAACAAAAAUAUUAUUAUAAUAAAAAUAAACUUUCAGCAACGGAUCU
rnacentral:misc_RNA from 1 species